UGGAGGGACGUGUCAUUACUCCACAAUGAUGGGAUUUUAAUGUCAUCUGUAGGAUCAGGUUCAUUUGAGUAUUGUCUAUUAUCUAUUCUACUUGGUAGAAAUAACCAAAGGGAACUCAGCUCAACCUGGGGUGUAUAAUUUGGAAACAAAGACUGGAUCUGCUGUACAGGCAAAGUAAACAUCUAAAACCAAAAGGGCCAGGUCAAAAGGCUCCUGUUUUUACAAAGUAGAAGGAGGUUGUGUCUUACAGUGUUAAACUAAAGCUGCAGUGUGGUCUUACUUCAAAAAACAUUCACAUCCAAGCCAAAGCAAUCCGACAAAUGAAAUGAGAACUGAAAACUUUUGUCAGCAUACACCUGUGGAUCUUAGUUGCAGUUUUUCUGUGCUUUUGCUGUUGUGAUGGACUACUGUAUUCCUAUAAUCAAGCUUUGCAGAAUACGGCUUGGAUAAGUCUUCAAUAAACUCACUCUCUUCAUUUUUUUUAAUUGCUCUUUGAAAUGGGUAACAUUUACACUGCCACAGAGAUGGAUAGGGAUGUGGACUAUUAGAGACAUGCAGAGUGGGACUAUUGCCCUUCUUUCCAAGGAAAGAUCUAGAACUAGUUUUUAUAUAUUAAUUUGAAGAUCAUGAAGAUGUAGGGAGAGAACACUGCGGUAAGUGGAACUGUCACAGGAAAUAUUGCAUAAUUUCCUAUGCAACCUGUAGUGGGGAACAUUUUGCAUGAACAUGUGGAUGCAGAUACCCGAGCAGAGACCUGCUGGAAAUGCCACAAUAUUAGGUAUUUUACUUAAAGCCCCAGCUCCUGGAAUCAUGUUGGUACAUGAGAACUUCAGCCUUCUUUUUUUUUUUAAAGUAAGGGCAUGUCUACUCUACAGACUUAAGUCAACCUAUGUUAGGUCAACUUGCAGCCAGCGCAGCCUACAUUUCUAGCCCUCAUGGCUGCAGAAAAAAAGCUUGAAAAUGUGAACCCUAAAGGCUCAAGACCAGAAGACAAAUAAAAAGAAAACAUUUAAUCUGCUGAAUUUUAAGCCAAUCUCAUGAUUUUGGUGGGCUCUGACUUGUUUGGGAACACUUAGGGUUGGUGAUAUACGGUGUCAAUCGGAAUAGCAGCAUUGAAGUCUUCAGUGGAGCUAUACCAGUUUGCAUAAGCCGAGGAGCUGAACAUCUGUGUU